UUUUAUUGGAAAAUGUUGCUCUGACGGAACAGUAAUUAAGAUACCUCAGUCCUGCAUGUUGUACAUGUUGUAAAUGUAUCAAAAUAAGCAUGAAUGACUUUUACAUAACAUUUGGAUACCUGCAUGAUGGAUCAUGGAUAUCAAGGACUAUCAAAUAACCAUUAUGACCCCCCAUUAUCAGUAUGACAUAUUUUAAAAAGAUCGACACAAUGUGUACUGUUGAGCAUAGACUAGUUUUCAUAAGCAGUUAUUGACAAUAAUCUGUACGUUGCAUGUGCAUCAUAUGUAUAGUAUUUUGGGAGUAUUUUCAUGUGCUAUUAUAUGGGGACUUAUAUGUUGUACUAUUUUGAGCGCUCAUAAAGAAUAUUAUAAAACAACAAUUUCUGUAAUCUUUUUUUCUUUACUAAAGAUAAAGUUUUCGUUUACAUGAAGUAAGACGCAUUUUAUUGAAAAGGCAGUUACAAAUAUAUAUCAAAUAUAAACCGGGAUUUAUAAAUGUUUUAACCUAUUUAUCACUAGAUUUAUUUUUUUAAUAUUCUAUAUUAUUUGUAUUGGUAUCUAGGCUAUACCUUUCUACUUUUGGUAUUUUGCAUACCCGGAGUCACGUGUUAUUUGUAAGUUUCCAGCCGCCAUUUUUGGAAUUUUGAAGCGAUCAGAGGAAACAAUUAUCAAUUAUGUGAUUUAUUUGCCACAAAAGCAUGUAUUUCUCAAUUCAUGGACUGCACAGUUUUUGGCAAUUUUCAACAAUGGAAGAAAACUUGAAACAGAAACCAAGAUACAGAUAUCAGCAGUUAAUGUAUAAUGUACAGAUGCCCUUAAACAUGUCAAAGUUUUUGAUGAAGUAAAGAGCAAGAUACUAUCCCAUUUAGCAGCGAUACUGCAUGACUUUAAUUCCAAGACAAUAUGACAAAGAAUACCGAUUGGCAUGAUUGGACACCAAUAGUUCACACAUGAGAACUGAGAAGAUGUUUUGAGGACUUCAUACAUGUACAGGAGCUUCUUGGGAGGUUUGGAAAGAAACAUUAUCCUAGACUUCACAAUUUGCUAUAAAGAUGAUUUCCUCUUAUUGAAUAAUUCAAAGUAUGGUAACUUUGUUGAAUGCAUGUAUCCUAUUGAACUUGAAAUAAAGGAUACAACAGAUACAGAUGAAUCAUUGCUGGGUCCUUGAAAAACAUACUGUAACUUCUUCUGAUACUGGAAAUUGAAAACAACUG